UGGCCAGACUCCUACGGGAGGCAGCAGUGGGGAAUAUUGCACAAUGGGGGAAACCCUGAUGCAGCGACGCCGCGUGGGCGACGAAGCGCUCCGGCGCGUAAAGCCCUGUCAGCAGGGAAGAACAAAGACAGUACCUGACCAAGAAGCCCCGGCUAACUACGUGCCAGCAGCCGCGGUAAUACGUAGGGGGCAAGCGUUGUUCGGAAUGACUGGGCGUAAAGGGUGCGUAGGCGGUGUAGCAAGUUAGAAGUGAAAUACCUAGAGCUUAACUCAGGUGCUGCUUCUAAAACUGCUAUACUUGAGUGCAGUAGAGGAAAGUGGAAUUCCUAGUGUAGCGGUGGAAUGCGUAGAUAUUAGGAGGAACAUCAGUGGCGAAGGCGACUUUCUGGACUGUAACUGACGCUGAGGCACGAAAGUGUGGGGAGCAAACAGGAUUAGAUACCCGUGUA
rnacentral:rRNA from 1 species